AACGAACGCUGGCGGCAUGCCUAACACAUGCAAGUCGAACGGGAUCCUAGCUUGCUAGGUGAGAGUGGCGGACGGGUGAGUAACACGUGGGAAUCUGCCUUUUGGUUCGGAUAACCGCGGGAAACUGCGGCUAAUACCGAAUGCCCUCGAGAGAGGAAAGAUUUAUCGCCAGAAGAGGAGCCCGCGUCCGAUUAGGUAGUUGGUGGGGUAAAGGCCUACCAAGCCGACGAUCGGUAGCUGGUCUGAGAGGAUGAUCAGCCACACUGGGACUGAGAUACGGCCCAGACUCCUACGGGAGGCAGCAGUGGGGAAUAUUGGACAAUGGGGCAACCCUGAUCCAGCAAUGCCGCGUGAGUGAUGAAGGCCUUAGGGUUGUAAAGCUCUUUUGCCAGGGAAGAUGAUGACUGUACCUGGAGAAUAAGCCCCGGCUAACUUCGUGCCAGCAGCCGCGGUAAU
rnacentral:rRNA from 1 species